rnacentral:rRNA from 1 species
UCGAACGCGUAACUUCCUGUAGCAAUACAGGAGGCGGGCGCGUGGCGAACGGGUGCGUAACACGUGGGUAACUUACCCUCUUGUGGGGAAUAACCCGUCGAAAGGCGGGCUAAUACCGCAUUACAUCCCGGCUACUUCGGUGGCUGGGAUCAAAGCCCGCAAGGGCGCAGGAGGAGGGGCCCGCGGCCGAUUAGCUUGUUGGCGAGGUAACGGCUCACCAAGGCAAUGAUCGGUAGCCGGUCUGAGAGGAUGGCCGGCCACACUGGAACUGAGACACGGUCCAGACUCCUACGGGAGGCAGCAGUGGGGAAUCUUGCGCAAUGGGCGAAAGCCUGACGCAGCAACGCCGCGUGGGGGAUGAAGCUUCUCGGAGUGUAAACCCCUUUCGACCCGGACGAACCCCCGCAAGGGAUUGACGGUACGGGUAGAAGAAGCCCCGGCUAACUACGUGCCA